rnacentral:ncRNA from 1 species
GCCGAGAGGGUGACGGUCAUACAAUACCGAAAGGAAAAGCCGUCCGCCGUGCUUGUAGCGGUUUCGAGCCUCUUGGCACCCUAUU